GUCUACGGCCAUACCACCCUGAACGCGCCCGAUCUCAUCUGAUCUCAGAAGCUAAGCAGGGUCGGGCCUGGUUAGUACUUGGAUGGGAGAAUCUUAUUUGUAAACA
rfam:Oryctolagus cuniculus breed Thorbecke inbred cont2.81281, whole genome shotgun sequence.